AACGAACGCUGGCGGCAUGCCUAACACAUGCAAGUCGAACGAGACCUUCGGGGCUAGUGGCGCACGGGUGCGUAACGCGUGGGAACCUGCCCUUAGGUUCGGAAUAACUCCCCGAAAGGGGUGCUAAUACCGGAUAAUGUCUUCGGACCAAAGAUUUAUCGCCUUUGGAUGGGCCCGCGUUGGAUUAGCUAGUUGGUAGGGUAAAAGCCUACCAAGGCGACGAUCCAUAGCUGGUCUGAGAGGAUGAUCAGCCACAUUGGGACUGAGACACGGCCCAGACUCCUACGGGAGGCAGCAGUGGGGAAUAUUGGGCAAUGGGCGAAAGCCUGAUCCAGCAAUGCCGCGUGAAUGAUGAAGGCCUUAGGGUUGUAAAGCUCUUUUACCGGGGAUGAUAAUGACAGUACCGGGAGAAUAAGCCCCGGCUAACUCCGUG
rnacentral:rRNA from 1 species